AGUUCGGAUCGCAGGCUGCAACCCGCCUGCGUGAAGUUGGAAUUGCUAGUAAUCGCGGAUCAGCAUGCCGCGGUGAAUACGUUCCCGGGCCUUGUACACACCGCCCGUCACACCAUGGGAGCCGGUAAUACCCGAAGUCAGUAGUCUAACCGCAAGGGGGGCGCUGCCGAAGGUAGGAUUGGCGACUGGGGUGAAGUCGUAACAAGGUACC
rnacentral:rRNA from 1 species